rnacentral:rRNA from 1 species
GCGCUUGUUGGCGGGGUAACGGCCCACCAAGGCAACGAUCAGUAGGGGUUCUGAGAGGAAGGUCCCCCACAUUGGAACUGAGACACGGUCCAAACUCCUACGGGAGGCAGCAGUGAGGAAUAUUGGUCAAUGGGCGAGAGCCUGAACCAGCCAAGUAGCGUGCAGGAAGACGGCCCUAUGGGUCGUAAACUGCUUUUAUAAGGGAAUAAAGUUAGUCUCGUGAGACUUUUUGCAUGUACCUUAUGAAUAAGGACCGGCUAAUUCCGUGCCAGCAGCCGCGGUAAUACGGAAGGUCCGGGCGUUAUCCGGAUUUAUUGGGUUUAAAGGGAGCGUAGGCCGGAGAUUAAGCGUGUUGUGAAAUGUAGACGCUCAACGUCUGCACUGCAGCGCGAACUGGUUUCCUUGAGUACGCACAAAGUGGGCGGAAUUCGCGGUGUAGCGGUGAAAUGCUUAGAUAUCACGAAGAACUCCGAUUGCGAAGGCAGCUCACUGGAGCGCAACUGACGCUGAAGCUCGAAAGUGCGGGUAUCGAACAGGAUUAGAUACCCUGGUAGUCCGCACGGUAAACGAUGGAUGCCCGCUGUUGGUCUGAACAGGUCAGCGGCCAAGCGAAAGCAUUAAGCAUCCCACCUGGGGAGUACGCCGGCAACGGUGAAACUCAAAGGAAUUGACGGGGGCCCGCACAAGCGGAGGAACAUGUGGUUUAAUUCGAUGAUACGCGAGGAACCUUACCCGGGCUUAAAUUGCAGAGGAAGGAUUUGGAGACAAUGACGCCCUUCGGGGUCUCUGUGAAGGUGCUGCAUGGUUGUCGUCAGCUCGUGCCGUGAGGUGUCGGCUUAAGUGCCAAAACGAGCGCAACCCCUCUCCUUAGUUGCCAUCAGGUUAAGCUGGGCACUCUGGGGACACUGCCACCGUAAGGUGUGAGGAAGGUGGGGAUGACGUCAAAUCAGCACGGCCCUUACGUCCGGGGCUACACACGUGUUACAAUGGCAGGUACAGAGAGACGGUUGUACGUAAGUACGAUCAAAUCCUUAAAGCCUGUCUCAGUUCGGACUGGGGUCUGCAACCCGACCCCACGAAGCUGGAUUCGCUAGUAAUCGCGCAUCAGCCAUGGCGCGGUGAAUACGUUCCCGGGCCUUGUACACACCGCCCGUCAAGCCAUGAAAGCCGGGGGCGCCUAAAGUCCGUGACCGUAAGGAGCGGCCUAGGGCGAAACUGGUAAUUGGGGCUAAGUCGGAACAAGGUA